UACGUAGGGGGCGAGCGUUGUCCGGAGUUACUGGGCGUAAAGCGCACGCAGGCGGUCUGUGAAGUUUGGAAUGACAGUUGGUGGCUCAACCACCAAAGUGCUUUGAAAACUGAUAGACUUGAGGGCUUCAGAGGGACACGGAAUUCCGGGUGGAGUGGUGAAAUGCGUAGAGAUCCGGAGGAACACCAAAGGCGAAGGCAGUGUCCUGGGGAGUACCUGACGCUCAGGUGCGAAAGCCAGGGGAGCGAACGGG
rnacentral:rRNA from 1 species